AACUCGUCGCAGUCGACUAGAGCGAGGUGCCCAGCAGACCGAGGGCCAGAAUUUGGGUGCCGGCUACCUUUAAGGAGCCAGAACGCAUCCUCAAGAUGCUGCAGAGAUGCAACCCAGGACUACCAACCUCAGAUUGGAAGGUAGCCAAGGUUGAGACGACACAAGGGCCGACUAACCAGGCAGUGCUCGUUCUCAAUAAAGAGUCGCUGGCCCCGAUAGAGGCAGCAAAAGGAGAGCUAAACUUCGACUUCAGCUCGGUCACCAUCAAGGUGUACAAAUCGGACGCGGCGGCCGCGGCGCUUCCUGUCGUCAACCCAGACGUGCAGGAUGUCGCUGCGGAGAUCGAAGCGCCUGACGACGAGCUGGAGCCAGACCAGGAAGGCUUCUCCUCAGAGACAGAGCUGAUGCUCGACUUUGAGUAAAUGUGCCGAGAGAGAGUCUCAGAUGACUCGGACGCAGAAAUCACGGUGGUGGAGAAUCUUGAAGAUGGUCCUAAGGAUCCUUCAAAUAAAUCUCCAGCCUCGGCUGCUCUCAUACUCCGCCUAGACGCAAGCGGAGCCGACGUAGUCCUGAUCCAGGAGCCUUGGGUGGUAGGAGGCAAGGUCUGUGGAUUGGAGACGAGGGAAUACAAGAUCAUUGUAUCCCAAAAUGAAGCGAUAGCGAUAACACGGCGGUAAGCCUAGAACUAAAAGGGAAUCAUCUCAGGCUGGUGGCGUCCUAUAUGGCCCACGAGGAGGAUGAUCCUCCGAACGACCUUGUUCGCAAAAUACCCAGCGACAGCGAAAGGACGGUCAAAGACCUACUUAUAGGUUGCGAUGCCAACGCCAACCACACCCAAUGGGGGAGCACGGACACGAAUGUAAGGGUUCUUCCAAUGCGUCCGUUACCAGAUUUUCGGGGGCCUGU